AUGAAACCUUAAUUCUUCUUCCUUUUCUUUUUAAUUCUCUCUUUCUUGUCUCUCACGCUACAACGGUUUCUCAACAACUGUAGAACUAUUGGGAUCAAUGCCUUGUCUGGCCCCUUUCCCAAGGAAAUUGGUUUGCUUACAAGUCUAAAAUCGCUAGGUAUUGGUCUAAAUAACUUUUCCGGUCCUAUACCAGCUGAGAUUGGGAACUGCACAAGACUACUGAAAAUAUACCUAGGAAAUUCUGGACUUAGUGGAGAAAUAC